rnacentral:rRNA from 1 species
UUUGGCGGUCAUAGCGAGUUGGUCCCACCCCUAACCAUUUCGAACAGGAUGGUGAAACGGCUCAGCGCCAAUGAUAGUAUGGAAAUCCCAUGUGAAAGUAGGUCACCGCCAAAC